AUUUAAGUAGUUUAAUAAAAUAAAGAUUUGUGGUUUCUUAGAUAACAUAAUGUUCUUAAAUU
rnacentral:tRNA from 1 species